UGUAUUCGAGUGUAUUCGACUAUAUUCACGGCGUGAACAGGGGAUUACACUAUUUUUAAACGGAGAGUGAAUUAAUUAACAUAAUAGACUCCU
rnacentral:pre_miRNA from 1 species